GAUGAACGCUAGCUACAGGCUUAACACAUGCAAGUCGAGGGGAAACGACAUCGAAAGCUUGCUUUUGAUGGGCGUCGACCGGCACACGGGUGAGUAACGCGUAUCCAACCUGCCCACCACUUGGGGAUAACCUUGCGAAAGUAAGACUAAUACCCAAUGAUAUCUCUAGAAGGCAUCAGAAAGAGAUUAAAGAUUUAUCGGUGAUGGAUGGGGAUGCGUCUGAUUAGCUUGUUGGCGGGGUAACGGCCCACCAAGGCUACGAUCAGUAGGGGUUCUGAGAGGAAGGUCCCCCACAUUGGAACUGAGACACAGUCCAAACUCCUACGGGAGGCAGCAGUGAGGAAUAUUGGUCAAUGGACGGGAGUCUGAACCAGCCAAGUAGCGUGCAGGAUGACGGCCCUAUGGGUUGUAAACUGCUUUUAUAAGGGAAUAAAGUGAGUCUCGUGAGACUUUUUGCAUGUACCUUAUGAAUAAGGACCGGCUAAUUCCGUGCCAGCCGCCGCCGUAA
rnacentral:rRNA from 1 species